rnacentral:lncRNA from 1 species
GGAGUGACAUAUACAAACUUCAGGGCAGUGGUUUCCUCUGGGAUGCAGGGAAGUGAAUGAGAUUAGGAAGGGUGACAUCAACUGUAUCUGAAAUGCUUUAAUUGUUAAUACAAGUGAGGGGUAUGAAGAUAUUUGUUAUACUAUUUUUUUGAUGCUUUUUACAUGCUGGAAUAACAACAACAACAAUGCCUUGCAUUUCAUUUCCCUGUGGUUUAAAGAUAGAGGAAAUAAAGCUUUUCUCCUCACAGUUAGAAAAAAAUGUACUUCUUGAAAGAACCCCUGAAUAAUCUGAUUAAAAAAACCCAAAAUGCAAUUAGUUGUUGCUUUUUGAGAGUCAGUCCAGUGUAUGCAUUAUUCUUUGGACUCUGGAUCUUAAUUUGAGGGCAGAGGAAGCCACUGAAAGGGUAUUAGCUGAGGGGUGAUCUCAUUCUUGGCUUGCAGUGCCUUUUGGAACUUGCCUCCUUCUUUCUUUCCCAUCUUUAUCGGCCUACCCCAGCUUCAGUUUUUCUUCUCGUGACUUCACACUUCUCGUAGGUACACACAACCGUGUGCUCCUUCACACCAAAGUGCAGUUGCUCACGGUUUCCCUUGCUUAGGACAUCUUUCCCCCCUCUUUCUGGCGAACCAACCCAUGCGCUCCUUCCAGAGCUAAGGCAACAUCUUCCCUUAGGAAGUUUUCCUUGCUCUCUAAAGUGAGUUGGGUUCGCCUCUGAAUUCCCAGCACUCCCUUGGAUGUUUGUGUCAAAACCUUAUUUCACUGUUACCUUUCCUGCUCUCCCCAAAGUGCCUGAGUCAGAAGUGUUUAGGAAAGAGACGUGCUGUUCGAGCCAGAAGGUGUAGACUGGGAGUUUGCUCAAGUUUCUCCCACACUACUGGUUUCUAAUAAUGGCUCACUGAUCAUAAAGUAACAUUUCACUGUGACUUGGCUCCUCUCAGCCUUUAGGAGACUUGGUUAAGAUCUUGGAAAAAAUCCUCUACAAAAGGAUGGGAUGGAGUUAGGUUCAGAAGGAGAUGACAGUGGUAGGUCCAGACCUAAGAAACUUGCCACUCAGCGAGCUGGAGAUGGGUGGAUAAAAACAGGAAAUGACUUUCCAGUUCUGGGGUAGUGAACCUGGGUCAGCGGCAGCAGGUGGCUUGGAGGAACCUAAAAUAAGAGGCACCGGAGAACAGACAAGCCUCAGGAAAGCAAUAUUAAACUUGAACAGGGCCUCAUAAAGGUUUCUGUAGUUGAAUCAAGUUAAAGCAAGUUUGGAUCCAAAGGUCUGGUGACUCUUCUAAACGUACUCACACAUCUGGAUAUUGGACUGAGUUCCAGUAGAUCUGUCCUUGAGGAUCAUCUGGGGACAGACUUUUGUGCAAAAAAGAAAGAAAGAAAUGAUGAAUUAUCAUGUAGACGAUGUGAUCAGGUGUUCAUUAUUAGAAGGCAGAAUAAGACAGAGGCCAUAUUACCAGAUAAGGCUUCCACAUCAUCAGGGGAAAUGGGAUGUUUGUAUUUUGUUAUCUUUGAAGCUCAGGGCCAAAGCAAAGCUUGGAAUAUGGAAAGUUUUCACCAAAGUUGGCUGAAUGAAGGGAUGAGUUCUGGAGAAAUCUCAUGACUGGAGAAAGCCUCGCCGGUCACAACUCUUACAUCUGGUUUGGAAGAAUGUUGGUGGCAAAAUAAUAAACAAGACUUCCUGCAAAAACUUUUGACAUCAAGCUGACCAGAAACAUACCAGAUCCACGUUACCAGCUGGAUUAAAACCAAGGACAGGCUCAGCAGCAAUUUUAAUGGUUAAGAAUUAGGGUUUGGGGGCUAUGACGGUGGCUUGCCAGCAGUGCCUGAUUUAACCAUCCCCCUUUCCCAUAGAAAUACUCCAAAACACACAGUAAGACUUAAAAUUACAAGUCUGGAGGGAAUGACUUCCAUGAAUUAUUUGCCGGUCUCUGAGAGUGUUUUUUCUCUGACCGCAUCAUAAUGGGAUGAGAAGUAAGUCACUCUGACCUCAAAAAUAGCACUAGGCUGGAAUAUCCACCUUUGUACCAGUGUGUAUGGCCUCCCAUUGCUUGGGAACAGUAGGCGGCUCCACAUUGUGGCUGUGGCUAUGGCUGUGGCUGUGGCGUAGGCCAGCAGCUGCAGCUGCAAGUGAACCCCUAGCCUGGGAACUUCCGUAUGCCACACCUGCUUCCCUUAAAAAGCAAAAACAAAUAAACAAACAAAUAAAUAAAUAAAAAUAAAAUAGGCAUCUUACUUCCCAUUGUUCCCACUGUCCAUCCUGGCUCUCUGUCUCCAUCCAUUUGCUAUUCCUCCCAGUGAUGUACCGUCCUGUGAAGUCAAGUUGGCAGUGGGAAGAGUACAGGAAGAAGGGCUUUAGGAAUGCAGCACUCAAGGGAAAAGGCUUAAUUAGGGUUAGACAUUUGAAUUUUUAUAAAUUUUUCUCUCUGUAUUAACUUACCAUGGCAAGAGCUAAUAUUAUUUAGUGUUUAUAUCUAACCACAGAGCAAAGGGAAUGAGUGUCUGAGUAUAAUAACACUAUAGCUAAUGUUCUCAUAGCCCUCUAGAAUUUGAAAGAUCAUUUCAGACUACUUCAAUCCCUCACUCCACAUGUGUUAUCACCAUUUCUACCACCACCAAACUGUAUUUAUGGAAACUUACUCCCCCUCUCCCUGACACCAUAGCCAGCAUCCUCUCAACCACCCUAUAGAGAUAGGUGCUGUUAUGAUUUCUAUUUUGUCAGUGAGGGGACUGAUGCUGGUAACAUGGUUAUUACAGACUGAAUUUUAUCCCUUCCCAAAUUCGAAUGUUGAAGCUCUAACCCCCAAAGCAGUGUUAUUAGGAAGUAGGGCUUUUGAGAGAUAAUUAUGUUUAGAAGAGGUCGUAAGGAUGGGGCCCCGUGAUGGGAUUAGUGUCCUUAUAAGAAGAGAAGCAGACUAGAGUGAGAGAGCUCUCCACCAUGUGAGGACAUAGCAAGCAACAGUCAUCUGCAAGCCAGGAAGAGGGGCCUCACCUGAACCAAACCCUGCUGGGCCUUUGAUCUUAGACUUCUCAGCCCCGAACAGUGAAGAAUCAACAUUUGUUGUUAAAGUCACCCUGUCAGAGGUAUGUUGUUAUCACAGCCUGAACUAAGACAGUGAUCAAGUCAUGCAACGGAGUGAGUGAAGAGCUGAGUCCUGAAAGCCUUUGCACGUAACAACUAUAUUAAACAAGGAUCCUCCGAAGCAUAGAAGGGAUGGGGGUCCCAUUCCCAUUCUGAGAUUUGUACUAAAAGUAUCUUAAAAGUGAAGAAAUACCAAAUAUGGUGACAAAAGUAUCAUCUAUUUUAUUUUAUUUAUUAUUUUUGCCUUUUUAGCGCUGCACCUGUGGCAUAUGGAAGUUCCCAGGCUAGGAAUUGAGUCAGAGCUACAGUGGCCAGCCUGUACCACAGCCACAGUAACCUGGGAUCUGAGCCGCAUCUGCGACCUACACCACAGCUCAUGGCAGUGCCAGAUCCUUAACCCACUGAACAAGGCCAGGGAUUGAACCUGCAUCCUCGUGGAUACUAGUUGGAUCCAUUUCUGCUGCACCACAACUGAAACUCCAGUAUUAUCUAUUUUAAAUGGUUAUGUUUAACAAAUUAGCACCUUUAACACUCAAACCACAUUUCAUUAAUCUGUUUUGUUUUUCAGCCUGCAAAAAGUAUAACAGCUGAAUAUUUUUGUGAAAAAUGAUAUUUAAAAUUUUGAAGGAGACGGUUUUAUAACAGUUAAAAGUAAAUAAAGAAUGAGUGAUGCAUAGCUAUGGUCCUACAACUCUGCAAUUUAAAGCUAAUCAGCAGAUUUAUUAAAAAAUACCAUUUUAUGAUAUAUACAGGUGAUAUUGACAUGACCCAAAUUUGAGGACUAUGGUAAGCAUCUUUUGCGGUGCUGUCCAUGUAUUUCUGUGGCUGUAUGUCAGGCCCAGGGCAAGAGGCUCUGCAGAUGGACAUUAACUAGCUUUGUGGCUUUCUAGCUGUGUAACGACCUCUUUGGCCUCAUUUUUCACCUGUGAGAUGGAAGACUGAAUGUUGGACAUCUCCCUUCCUCACCUCAUUGCUUAACAGAGCCAUUUCCCUCCUUUGUCUGGCUGGGCCAGUGACUCUUUACAUCUUCAUCUGCAAAUGUGAUGGGUUGGAUGAGAUAACCUGCAGUGUUCUACUAGGUCAAAGGGUCCGUUAGCGCUUUUAGAGAAAAUGUAUCACUGAAUUGAAAAAAAUGCUAGGCUCAUGCUUUGCUUCUAUUACUACUGCUGUUACACCACCCUCGGCACCACAGUAACGCACGCCCAAGUGAAACCAAGCUGUUAAACCCACGAGAGCAGCCUAACCUUACUGAGGGCGGCACACCUACCCGUAAGUUCCCCUCCACGGGCUCAUUUACAGCCUCCAACUGAACUCAUAAGCUCAUGCCAACUGUAUUUAAACCAUUAGGAAAUAGUUUCUCUGGCAUUGGCUACAGAAAGGGUGGAAUUUCCUCUCCUGAGAAUUACAGGGAAGCCCAAAGAUUUUUCUGAAGAGGUACCCACAAAGGCUUUGAUUCUCUUCUGAGAGUCUGACCGAAAAUCAAAACAUUGUGGGCAUAUUUGUACAAAUGACACCUUUGAAAAGUUAGCUGACUCCAGGACCAGAAGACCAUCAACAUGGUUAAAAAAGAAUGUACCAGUAAGAAGGUCUGCAAGUCAAAGAACAUAAAUAAAAAUGUGUCAUGGAGGCAGUAUGCACUCCAGCUCAGUGCAGGAGAGCAUCCUAGUUCUACCAAGCCAAGUGCGUCUGUGCUGAUUGAUGCUGGGUGUCAUCAAUUCCUGUUUAUUGAGCACUUAUUCUCUGUGGGGAACAGUAACAUAUGGUAUCUCAUUUAAUAUUCAAAGCAGCCGUUUUACAGGUAAGGAAACAGCUGAGGAUCAGAAAGGAUAGGAUGACAGAGUGGGUGAGUACUGGACUCUGGAGGCUUUGCUUCUAACCACAGUGAGCACUGCUGGGAUGGUCAUGGGAAUACCCAAACUCCUCCUCAAGACCAGUCUCCAAUGGAGAUAGAACUGAGUGGCUUCUUGAUGUGGUAUAUUUAUACAUACAGUGGAAUAUUACCCAGCCAUAUAAAAGCAUGAAUUUCUACUAUUUGCAACAACAUGGAUGACCCUAGCAAGUAUUAUGCUUAGUGAAAUAAGUCAUACAAAGACAAAUAUUGUAUAUUAUUACUUAUCUCUGGAAUCACCGUGUGAGCCUUCUGGGCUUGUCAGUCUUCCUUCCCUGUCAGUGUCCUGAUUGCUUUAAAAAGUAAGGGGACCAUAUUGUGCUUACUCCUUCAGUUGUCAUUCCAGUCCUCAAAACUUUUCUCUAGCUAUGCCCAAAGGCAGAUGAUACUCCAGCAGUGAUAAUGAUGCUUGGCAACGAUGAUGCUUUUAUUAAGCCUUUAGUACUUGGCAAUUCAAUCACUCUAAACAAACAAAAUCAAGAUGACCAAGCCUAAAGGCUCUGGGGAAAACUCUCUGCAGAAGAUGAUAUGUAAUCAUCUAAAUUUUGAAGAAUGG